rnacentral:rRNA from 1 species
GGGAAUAAGCAUCGGCUAACUCCGUGCCCAGCAGCCGCGGUAAUACGGAGGAUGCAAGCGUUAUCCGGAUUUAUUGGGUUUAAAGGGUGCGCAGGCGGACUGGUAAGUCAGUGGUGAAAUCCUGCAGCUUAACUGUAGAAUUGCCAUUGAUACUGUCAGUCUUGAGUGUGGUCAAGGUAGGCGGAAUGUGUAAUGUAGCGGUGAAAUGCUUAGAUAUUACACAGAACACCGAUUGCGAAGGCAGCUUGCUGGGCCAUUACUGACGCUCAUGCACGAAAGCGUGGGGAUCGAACAGGAUUAGAUACCCUGGUAGUCCACGCCGUAAACGAUGAUCACUCGCUGUUGGCGAUACACUGUCAGCGGCUAAGCAAAAGCAUUAAGUGAUCCACCUGGGGAGUACGACCGCAAGGUUGAAACUCAAAGGAAUUGACGGGGGCCCGCACAAGCGGAGGAACAUGUGGUUUAAUUCGAUGAUACGCGAGGAACCUUACCUGGGCUUAAAUGUAGAGUGCAUUGGUGUGAAAACAUCAUUUUCUUCGGAACUCUCUGCAAGGUGCUGCAUGGUUGUCGUCAGCUCGUGCCGUGAGGUGUCGGAUUAAGUUCCAUAACGAGCGCAACCCUUAUCGUUAGUUGCCAGCGGGUAAUGCCGGGAACUCUAACGAAACUGCCGGUGUAAACCGUGAGGAAGGUGGGGAUGACGUCAAAUCAGCACGGCCCUUAUGUCCAGGGCUACACACGUGUUACAAUGGCCGGUACAGAGGGCAGCUACCUGUUGACAGGAUGCGAAUCUCAAAAACCGGUCUCAGUUCGGAUCGGAGUCUGCAACCCGACUCCGUGAAGCUGGAUUCGCUAGUAAUCGCGCAUCAGCCAUGGCGCGGUGAAUACGUUCCCGGGCCUUGUACACACCGCCCGUCAAGCCAUGGAAGCUGGGGGUACCUGAAGUCCGUAACCGCAAGGAGCGGCCUAGGGUAAAACUAGUGACUGGGGCUAAGUCGUAACAAGGUAACCG